rnacentral:lncRNA from 1 species
GGCCAGCCCGGGGAGGAAGAUGGAGGAGCCGCGGCCGGGCGGGCACCGCGGCCGUGCCAGGAGCGCGGCGGAGGGGCUGCUCUUGAUGGGUGGAAAACACCGCUUCUCGCUCUCCUCACGGCAUGGAAAAUACCGAAACACGCUUUAGGAGAAAAAAAUAACACAGCAACAACCCCCAAACAGCUGAGGAUUGAUGUAUCUUCAGGGAAGAAGCCGUCGCCGCUCGCCUGGCUCCUCACGACAACCUGCCCGCCAUUUGCUUAAUUAAAAGCAUAUACUUGAUGUGAUCAGAUGUGGUAAUACCGUAAAAAAAAAAACCCAAACCAAACCAAAAUACCCCGUAACAUCCAAACGCUCGUUGUUGGAGGCUGCAGCCAAGCUCGGCUGCUUAUUCCAGAAGUUUCUACAGGGGAGGGAGCACCCACUGCGGAGCCUUUGCCGCAGCGCCGGGAGGAGAUGCCGAGGAUGCGCCACCUCUCCCCUUCCCAAGCCUCCCCCCUUCGCUCGAUUUUCCCCAUCCUUGGGAAAAAAACGCUGCUGGGAGGUGUGUUAAGGGUGUUUUUUAUUAAAAAAUCUUCCUCCUUCCCCCUCCCCGCUUUGCUAAAUGAAUUAAAAGCAGCGCUGUCUCCCGAUGGAGAUGGAUGAGGCUGCUCGCUCGCACGCUCCCCUGCAGCCUCCGGCUGCCCCAGCGAGGGGACCGCGGCCACAAGUGACCUUCCCCAGGUGCCCCGACACGCUGCUGCUUCUUGGGAUUCAUUUUAAAUAGGCUUAUUAUUUUUUAUCUCCCCCCUCCCCUUAAAGAACAGUUCGCUCUUUCAGUGAUUCUUUUUUCUUGACGCUUCUUCAUGAUCCUUUUUUUUUGUGUGUGUGUUUUGAAUUGCAUCUUAAAACUGCCCAGCUGGAGACAGGUCUCGAUUAGAGCUGGAACAAUAGUUCCAUUUUAUUAAUAACGGGAAGGAUUUACAAUCCUCCAGCACCUUCCUUGGAAGGCUUUCAGGAAUCAUUUGCAAACACGCACACAUUUAAGAUCCCGCAGCCAAGGGCUGGGAGGUGGGUAAGUAUGUGAAUGGUGCCACCGCCAAAAAUCGCGUCGGUGGCCAAUCUGCCUUUCCGAGUGCUGAAAAAAAGACAGAUUGGGUGGGUUCUAGGGCUGUGACCUCAAUCUGUCCCGUGUUCUCUGUAGAUGCCGAUUGUUCUGCUGCAUCCUGAGAACUGGGCUGUACAGAGGACCGCGCCGCCUUGCCGGAGCGGAGCUGUGGACUCGCUUGCUGCUCAGGAUACACAGGAUUGUGUAACCCACGGCAGAUGUAACCAUCUCAGAGCUGUCUGGGCAGUCGGAUCUGGCCUUGCUGAGACACGGGUUGUGUAAGUGGCGUGUUGUACGCAGGCCACAAAACCCCACAACAUUUCAGUGGUUACGUCUGUCUGGGAGAGCGUGAGUAGGUCCCAGGGCUUCCCCUUCCCACCGCUUUGCCGGUUCACAAAACGAGAGGCUGAUGCUUCUGGAAAAAGCUCUGCCUUGUGGCCUUUAAAAAAAAAAAACCUGCUGUGGAUUAGUCAUCCUUGUUUUUAAAGGAAGCUGCGUUUGCCAGCCCUGGCCGUGUAACGCGUGUGUGUUAUCAGCCAUUGGGUUUAUUUGCUGGUAAGGUGCUGGGCUCUCUGGGGCGGCGCCACCGCGGCUCCUUCGAGCUGUUCCCGGCGGGUGGAAGAGCCACCACGGUCCAGCUUUUCAUGCCCUUCCCUCCGUUCUCUUGUUUUUCAGCGCUGGAAAUGUGGAGAACGCACCAAACGCACGUGGGGACAGACAAACGUAUUCUGGGGUCACUUCAACUCUGGAGGAGAAGCCCUGGGAUGUGUUGGUUUGGAGAUGCUCCUUGUGCUCACCGGAGGUACCAAGAAGCUGCUUGUUGGGGAUGUUUCCACGUUUUUGAGGUUGGCAACACCCCGUGGGACUCGGAAUUAACUUUUCUUUGGUAGUCGAGGACAAACGAGUGAGAAUCACCUUGGGAGCGCUGAACUUUUACCCCCCUCUCCUUCGGACUGAAGAGCUUCUAGAACUACAUCGGUGAGGCUUCCAAGUUAAACAAAACCUGAAUUCCCGCUGCCAAAAAGCAAGCGAGCGAUAGAAACCUCCACAUCUCCUCCGUGAGGGGGGACACCGCGGUCUCCCGAGAUUAUUCUGGUAUCCCCAAGAGUUAAAAAUGCUGCAUCGUGAGACCUGCGGAGGUCAAACGAAAGCCAGAGCUCACCGAGAAACUCUUCUCCGUAUCGCUCAAGGGGUUUUUGAGCAUAGCAGGUCUCCACGCACCAUUAUUUUUGUGUCUUUGUCAGGACCAAAGGAGCGAUAAUAGUGUGUUCAGUCUGCUUUGUUUAAAACACCGUCGAGUUGCUUUGCUAUCAAAAUGGUGUCUGGUGAAAGAAAAGCUCUGGUGGUGGCUGGCUCGGUGGUUAUUUUGUGCCAACCGAUCCCUCGUGGCUUUGGGCUGUGGGUUCGUGUUAAACCCUUGUCCUCCAGCG